CCUACGGGUGGCAGCAGUGGGGGAUAUUGCACAAUGGGGGGAACCCUGAUGCAGCGACGCCGCGUGGGUGAAGAAGCGCCUCGGCGCGUAAAGCCCUGUCAGCAGGGAAGAAAAUGACGGUACCUGAAGAAGAAGCCCCGGCUAACUACGUGCCAGCAGCCGCGGUAAUACGUAGGGGGCAACAGUUAUCCGGCUUUACUGGGUGUAAGGGGGGCGCAGACGGCGAUGCAAGCCAGGAGUGAAAGCCCGGGGCCCAACCCCGGGACUGCUCUUGGAACUGCGUGGCUAGAGUGCAGGAGUGGCAGGCGGAAUUCCUGGUGUAGCGGUGAAAUGCGUAGAUAUCAGGAGGAACACCGGUGGCGAAGGCGGCCUGCUGGACUGCAACUGACGUUGAGGCCCGAAAGCGUGGGGAGCAAACAGGAUUAGAUACCCGGGUAGUC
rnacentral:rRNA from 1 species